rnacentral:rRNA from 1 species
GUGGGAAACGAUGUGGGAAGGCCCAGACAGCCAGGAUGUUGGCUUAGAAGCAGCCAUCAUUUAAAGAAAGCGUAAUAGCUCACUGGUCGAGUCGGCCUGCGCGGAAGAUGUAACGGGGCUAAACCAUGCACCGAAGCUGCGGCAGCGACACUGUGUGUUGUUGGGUAGGGGAGCGUUCUGUAAGCCUGUGAAGGUGUGUCGUGAGGCAUGCUGGAGGUAUCAGAAGUGCGAAUGCUGACAUAAGUAACGAUAAAGCGGGUGAAAAGCCCGCUCGCCGGAAGACCAAGGGUUCCUGUCCAACGUUAAUCGGGGCAGGGUGAGUCGACCCCUAAGGCGAGGCCGAAAGGCGUAGUCGAUGGGAAACGGGUUAAUAUUCCCGUACUUGGUGUUACUGCGAAGGGGGGACGGAGAAGGCUAUGUUGGCCGGGCGACGGUUGUCCCGGUUUAAGCGUGUAGGUGUGUGUUCCAGGUAAAUCCGGUUCACUUUAACACUGAGGCGUGACGACGAGGCACUACGGUGCUGAAGCAACAAAUGCCCUGCUUCCAGGAAAAGCCUCUAAGCAUCAGGUAACAUCAAAUCGUACCCCAAACCGACACAGGUGGUCAGGUAGAGAAUACCAAGGCGCUUGAGAGAACUCGGGUGAAGGAACUAGGCAAAAUGGUGCCGUAACUUCGGGAGAAGGCACGCUGACACGUAGGUGAAGUGAUUUACUCAUGGAGCUGAAGUCAGUCGAAGAUACCAGCUGGCUGCAACUGUUUAUUAAAAACACAGCACUGUGCAAACACGAAAGUGGACGUAUACGGUGUGACGCCUGCCCGGUGCCGGAAGGUUAAUUGAUGGGGUCAGCGCAAGCGAAGCUCCUGAUCGAAGCCCCGGUAAACGGCGGCCGUAACUAUAACGGUCCUAAGGUAGCGAAAUUCCUUGUCGGGUAAGUUCCGACCUGCACGAAUGGCGUAAUGAUGGCCAGGCUGUCUCCACCCGAGACUCAGUGAAAUUGAACUCGCUGUGAAGAUGCAGUGUACCCGCGGCAAGACGGAAAGACCCCGUGAACCUUUACUAUAGCUUGACACUGAACAUUGAGCCUUGAUGUGUAGGAUAGGUGGGAGGCUUUGAAGUGUGGACGCCAGUCUGCAUGGAGCCGACCUUGAAAUACCACCCUUUAAUGUUUGAUGUUCUAACGUGGACCCGUUACCCGGGUUGCGGACAGUGUCUGGUGGGUAGUUUGACUGGGGCGGUCUCCUCCUAAAGAGUAACGGAGGAGCACGAAGGUUGGC